AUUGAACGCUGGCGGCAUGCCUUACACAUGCAAGUCGAACGGCAGCACGGGAGCAAUCCUGGUGGCGAGUGGCGAACGGGUGAGUAAAGUAUCGGAACGUGCCCAGUCGUGGGGGAUAACGUAGCGAAAGUUACGCUAAUACCGCAUACGAUCUAUGGAUGAAAGCGGGGGAUCGCAAGACCUCGCGCGAUUGGAGCGGCCGAAAACAGAUUAGGUAGUUGGGGGGGUAAAGGCUCACCAAGCCGGCGAUCUGGAGCGGGUCUGAGAGGACGACCAGGCACAAUGGGACCUGGGCACGGGCCCGACUCCUACGGGAGGGAAGAGUUGGGAAUUUUGGGACAUGGGGCGAAGGCUGGAUCAGGCAAGGCGGGGGGAGGGAGGAGGGCUUCGGGGUGGUAACCGCUUUUGGACCGGACGGAAAGGUUUGGGCUAAUAAGCUGAGCUCAUGACGGUACCGUAAGAAUAAGCACCGGCUAACUACGUGCCAGCCGCCGCGGUAA
rnacentral:rRNA from 1 species